rnacentral:rRNA from 1 species
AGAGUUUGAUCCUGGCUCAGGAUGAACGCUGGCGGCGUGCUUAACACAUGCAAGUCGAACGAAGCACCUCUCCCGAAGAUUGACACAGCUUGCUGUAGAUUGAUUCAUUUGAGGUGACUGAGUGGCGGACGGGUGAGUAACGCGUGGGUAACCUGCCUCAUAGAGGGGGACAACAGUUGGAAACGACUGCUAAUACCGCAUAGUAAGAAGGAUUCGCAUGUUUUCUUCUUGAAAGAUUUAUCGCUAUGAGAUGGACCCGCGUCUGAUUAGCUAGUUGGUAAGGUAACGGCUUACCAAGGCGACGAUCAGUAGCCGGCUUGAGAGAGUGAACGGCCACAUUGGGACUGAGACACGGCCCAAACUCCUACGGGAGGCAGCAGUGGGGAAUAUUGCACAAUGGGGGAAACCCUGAUGCAGCGACGCCGCGUGAGUGAAGAAGUAUUUCGGUAUGUAAAGCUCUAUCAGCAGGGAAGAUAAUGACGGUACCUGACUAAGAAGCCCCGGCUAACUACGUGCCAGCAGCCGCGGUAAUACGUAGGGGGCAAGCGUUAUCCGGAUUUACUGGGUGUAAAGGGUGCGUAGGUGGCAAGGCAAGUCAGAUGUGAAAGCCCGGGGCUCAACCCCGGUACUGCAUUUGAAACUGUCUAGCUAGAGUGCAGGAGAGGUAAGCGGAAUUCCUAGUGUAGCGGUGAAAUGCGUAGAUAUUAGGAGGAACACCAGUGGCGAAGGCGGCUUACUGGACUGUAACUGACACUGAGGCACGAAAGCGUGGGGAGCAAACAGGAUUAGAUACCCUGGUAGUCCACGC